GGAGUCGGCCAGACAGUCGCUCCCCGGUCUGGAGUUGCUCCUGACGCGGGGGGAGGAAAGUCCGGGCUCCACAGGGCAGGGUGCCAGGUAACGCCUGGGGGGCGCGAGCCCACGGAAAGUGCAACAGAAAAUAUACCGCCAACCCCGCUUGUGCGGGCGGUAAGGUUGAAAUGGUGCGGUAAGAGCGCACCGCGCCGGUGGCAACACGCGGCGGCAGGGUAAACCCCACCCGGAGCAAGACCAAAUAGAGGAACAUGCGGCCCUGCGCCGCGGCCCGCGGCCCGCGGGCGUUCCCGGGUAGGUCGCAAGAGGCGCGCGGUGACGCGCACCCCAGAUGAAUGACUGUCCACGACAGAACCCGGCUUAUCGGCUGGCUCCCACC
rnacentral:RNase_P_RNA from 4 species